AAGGUAACUGAACGUGUUUGGCCUCAGAUUGGACCAAAGGCAGAUGAAAGAGAUUCGCUACUAGAACAGAUACGAACUAAGUCCUUCAACUUGAAGCCUGCUGCAGCGACAAGGCCCAGCAUUCCAGGUCCUACUCCUAAAACCAACUUGAAGGUUGCUGAAAUAUUGGAGAAAGCAAAUACAAUUCGUCAGGCAUUGGCUGGAAGCGAUGAUGAACACGAUGAUGACGAUAUUGGAGCGACUCUUGAAACAAAACUGAUUCGCUUACAGCAUCCAGUGAUUACCCUGAACUAGGUCGGGGAACUAAUAGGAAUUUUAUAUCAAAUCUUCAUUUGUUUACACCAUUCAUGUAUUAUAUACUCCCCUUCACACACUUAUCCCCAUACACGUGUUGUUGUCAAGAGGCCCUGCUCUGUCCCAUGGAAAUAUUUUCGUGGGCAGAAAAGAAAAUGCAUUAUACGAGAAUGACUGCUCGAGGUUCAGCGUGCAAGCGCCGGGCCUAUAAAGUAUAUGGCACAUAGUCAUCAUUUAAAGAUCUUGGUCUGUGUAAAUUUUGACAUGAAAAUGCUUUUGAUGAAAUUUUGUAACAUCUGUAUGUAGCUCCUUCUUUUACAUGUAUGUACACAUUUAUUUGGUCUACAACCGAACCGCACCGCACCCUUUACGAAA